UUAGGACGGGAACAAAAAGUGGCCAGACUUAGAGAAAAAGUUGAUAUUCCUACAGUAGACUGCAAGCUGCCUGCUAACCUCAAAGUCCUUGGCGCCUGUGCAGAAACACACAGUUUAAAGCAAGUUGUCAGGUGUAGGGGAAUUCAGGCAAGCAAAAGGCAAUGCAGGGGUGGUCAGAGAGACACUGGGGCCUCUGUCGGAACUGCCACAGGCUGCCUUCUUUAUGGCAUUCCAACCCAUCCUUUGCCUCUGCAUCUUCAUUUGUAGGAGACCAAGAAGCUUGGCAAGCAGUCUCGUGGUCUCUCCUGUUUCUGUGAGUUGGUGUGUGUGUCUGUCUGUCCAAUACUCCUACCAGUCUUAUUCUUUUUCAGAAAACAUCAUCCUAGGGGCUGGAGAGAGAACUCAGUGACUGAGAGCACUGCAUGCUCAUGCAGAGGACCCACACUCUGCAGUCAACACCCAGACUGAGCAGCUCAAGACUGCCUAGAGAAGUUUUUCACUUGAAAUAACAACCACGUCGGACCUUGGACUCCUACAUUCAAUAAGCAUAAAUCAUAAAGCCAGCAAGAAUGGCAAAGGGAGCAGACAACUUCGGAAGCAGGAAAAUACAUGGAUUAGUGGAGCCAACCCUGAAACCUUUGAAGAGAGGAGAGGAAACUCAAUGGCCUCACACUUUCAUCCUGGAAUCAGACUGGGGCUCUAGCACUAGCUGCCUCUGGAGGUGGGACUUGAGGUAGGAUCGCCACUCAAGACCACUAGACUAUAUAGUCCUGUCCUGCACUAUGUUC